UGCGUUGCUAGAAGAAAUGUUUAUGUCGGCUAAGGUGAAAUUUCUUCCGGGCCUGUUUCGAUAAAAUUUUGAAUGUCUUCAAUUUCGUCAUAAUCCUGAAUUUCCUCGCUUUAACGGCCGUAACUGUUCUGUUCGGCUGGCGUAUCAAAGUGCUGAUCGUCGUAGGUGUCAUAAUGGCUUUGCGCAUGAGAAGAAUAAUAACUCGGAUAAUUAGAAUUAUCGUUAUGAAUUAUUGGUCGUUGUGCCAUCGAAUCAUUUGCGUGAAGUUCUUGGAAAACAAAAUUGGGUUUUUGAUUUGGCUGUUGUCUGAAAUAAUUGGUCUGGUUUGAGAAAUUUGGUCUACCAGUUCGCAAAGUGGGGUUUCUGGACACUCCUGAGAUAUCCAUAGGUUCGGGUUUCGGCAAUUGAUGGGGUGGGAUUUGCUUUGGUCGAAAUACAUUUUGAGAGGGGCCAAAGACUUGCUGAUUUGUGGGGUAUGUCCUGGGUGGUAAUUGCAUGGGGCGCAAUUUUUUUUCCAGUUUAGUUCCAACUCGUUUCCGAUUACUCGGGUGGUCAAUUACACCACCAGCUUUAAUCACUCUUAUAAUUGUAGAACGGCUAAGUUUGGUCAAUUCAGAAAUUCUCUUAAAAAUGCAAUUUACCAAAGAAUCACCAUUUUCAACUUUUAAACAAGAGAAUAUGUUUAAAGUAAUCCUUUGAGUUUGAACGUGUAACGGCCAUUUGCACCAGUGAAACUAAGGGUCACCUUAACUUAAGAGUGACCGUAAAGUGAUAGAAUUCGUUUGCACCACUCUCACCUAGCGUUAAGGCAAACCGUAACAGGCAAAUAAUUGCCUAAUAAGGCCUUGAUGUUGUGGAACCUAAACUCUGCCUAACGUCAGUUUCGGAGGAUUUUUGAGUUUGAGGUUCAAACAGAACUGUUAUUACAUCAUUGUUGCAGUAUUUUGUUGUAAACAAGCCGAUUUGUCGUUAUCAGCAGAUAUUAAUUUAUUAUGAAUGUGUUAACUAAUGAUCUGUUAUUUGUUGAUGAUGAUGACUUCGAUCAAGUGCGAGUUUCUAGACGAAUUUACGAGAGAACACAUUAUUUUAAUAGUUUUGAUGAUGUUCUGUUUUUUUCAACGGUUUCGCGUCACAAAGUCCACCGCACUUUUCAUAUUAAACCUGAUAGAAGAAGAAAUAGAGUUUCCAUUAGAUAUGUAAGUAAAAAUCAGUUUGUUGAUAUGUAGAGUUGAAAAUAUUAAAUUUUAUAUUACUUUACAAUGUAAACUUUGUGUAACGGAGAAUAACUAUGUCCAGGUACAUUUAAAAUAGAUGUAACGUGAAUACAAAUCACGUCUAGUACAUUUUUUAGGAACAAUAGUGUUGCGCCAAUAAACCAAUUGCUUGUUUUCCUGCGAUUUUGUGCUACUGGAGCUCACCUUGUUUGCAUUGGAGAUUUUAGUGGAAUUCACUUGUCGACUGCAUCUAGAAUAGUUGUCAGAGUGGGAAGCACACUUGCCCGAUUAUAUAGUAAAUUCGUUAAAAUGCCUUUAGUCGAUAACAUCAAUGAAUGCCAGUUGAAAUUUUAUAAAAAACCUCGCUUUCCCCGGGUAGUUGGAGUAAUUGACUGUACUCAUAUAAAAAUUGAGUCACCAGGUAUGUUUGUACGAUACUAUUUCACACACGAUAAAAUACGUAUGACAAGUAGUGUAAUAACAUGAGACCUUAAAUCAUGUACUUAGGUGGAUCGGAUGCUGAAGUGUUUAGAAUUCGAAAGGGCUAUUUUUCAAUAAACGUUCAGGCUAGGUGAUGCUGCUUUAAAGCUUGGCUUGUUAAUGUGGUAGCCAGCUGGCAUGGAUCAAUUCACGACGCUAUCAUAUUCAACAACAGCAAAGUGAAGAACGAGUUUGAAAACAACUUAUUUCGUAACUCCAUUUUAUUAGGCGAUGAAGGAUAUAACAUAAGGCCGUAUUUAUUAACUCCGUUACAACAGCCUGCAAAUCGUGCAGAGCAAUUAUGCAACGAGUCGCGUAUACGGACAAGAAAUAUAACUGAACGGCUAUUUGGUAUCUGCAAAAGACGAUUUCCAGUUCUUGCAUACGGUUGUCGUCUAAAACUAGAUACGGUCUUAAUAAUAAUAAUUGCUACUGCAGUUCUUCAUAAUAUAUGUUGAGAACAACAUGAGGAAGAGCCACCUGAUCCCGAAGAUGUUGAACGAUUUAUACGUCUUAUGCUUGAUAAAGUACCCAACAUUCCACUCGCUUCCAGCAACAUAUUGUCGCAAGGGAAUCAAAAUAGGAGGGACUUGACUGAUUCCUAUUUUAGAUUCAUUGGUGAAUAGCGAUGAAGUGAAUUGAAACAAACUGAAUGAGUAAAAACAAAUAUAAAAUUGAUUAUUUGUUUAAUGUU